GUGGUCACUGUGACAGCACAUAUACUAAAAUUGGAACAAUACAGAAAAGAUUAGCAUGGCCCCCUGUAAAUGUGUGAAGAUUUCCAUAUUUUA
rnacentral:snRNA from 1 species